rnacentral:rRNA from 1 species
AGAGUUUGAUCCUGGCUCAGGAUGAACGCUAGCGAUAGGCUUAACACAUGCAAGUCGAGGGGCAGCAUGGUCUUAGCUUGCUAAGACUGAUGGCGACCGGCGCACGGGUGCGUAACGCGUAUGCAACUUGCCUCACAGAGGGGGAUAACCCGUCGAAAGACGGACUAAUACCGCGUACACUCCAUCUUGGGCAUCCAAGGUAGAGGAAAUGAAAUUCGCUGUGAGAUAGGCAUGCGUCCCAUUAGCUAGUUGGUGAGGUAACGGCUCACCAAGGCGACGAUGGGUAGGGGAACUGAGAGGUUGAACCCCCACACUGGUACUGAGACACGGACCAGACUCCUACGGGAGGCAGCAGUGAGGAAUAUUGGUCAAUGGGCGAGAGCCUGAACCAGCCAAGUCGCGUGAAGGAUGACUGUCUUAUGGAUUGUAAACUUCUUUUAUACGGGAAUAACAAGAGUCACGUGUGACUCCCUGCAUGUACCGUAUGAAUAAGCAUCGGCUAACUCCGUGCCAGCAGCCGCGGUAAUACGGAGGAUGCGAGCGUUAUCCGGAUUUAUUGGGUUUAAAGGGUGCGUAGGCGGCCUGUUAAGUCAGCGGUGAAAUCUAGGAGCUUAACUCCUAAAUUGCCAUUGAUACUGGCGGGCUUGAGUGUAGAUGAGGUAGGCGGAAUGCGUGGUGUAGCGGUGGAAUGCAUAGAUAUCACGCAGAACUCCGAUUGCGAAGGCAGCUUACUAAGGUACAACUGACGCUGAAGCACGAAAGCGUGGGUAUCAAACAGGAUUAGAUACCCUGGUAGUCCACGCAGUAAACGAUGAUAACUGGGCGUAUGCGAUAUACAGUAUGCUCCUAAGCGAAAGCGUUAAGUUAUCCACCUGGGGAGUACGCCGGCAACGGUGAAACUCAAAGGAAUUGACGGGGGCCCGCACAAGCGGAGGAACAUGUG